AACGAACGCUGGCGGCAGGCUUAACACAUGCAAGUCGAGCGGGCCCUUCGGGGUCAGCGGCGGACGGGUUAGUAACGCGUGGGAACGUGCCUCUUGCUCUGGAAUAGCCCCGGGAAACUGGGGGUAAUACCGGAUGUGCCCUGAGGGGGAAAGGUUUACCGGCAAGAGAUCGGCCCGCGUCUGAUUAGGUAGUUGGUGGGGUAAUGGCCCACCAAGCCGACGAUCGGCAGCUGGUUUGAGAGGAUGAUCAGCAACACUGGGACUGAGACACGGCCCAGACUCCUACGGGAGGCAGCAGUGGGGAAUCUUAGACAAUGGGCGCAAGCCUGAUCUAGCCAUGCCGCGUGGGUGAUGAAGGCCUUAGGGUCGUAAAGCCCUUUCGCCGGGGAAGAUAAUGACGGUACCCGGUAAAGAAACCCCGGCUAACUCCGUGCCAGCCGCCGCAGUAAAAC
rnacentral:rRNA from 1 species